rnacentral:rRNA from 1 species
UACAGAGGUCUCAAGCGUUGUUCGGAUUCAUUGGGCGUAAAGGGUGCGUAGGUGGCGAUGUAAGUCUGGUGUGAAAUCUCGGGGCUCAGCCUCGAAAUUGCAUUGGAUACUGCGUUGCUUGAGGAUUGUAGAGGAGAGUGGAAUUCACGGUGUAGCAGUGAAAUGCGUAGAUAUCGUGAGGAAGACCAGUUGCGAAGGCGGAUCUCUGGGCCGGUACUGACGCUGAGGAGCGAAAGCGUGGGGAGCGAACAGG